GCCAAACACCAAGCCAAGAAGGUGGGCUUGAAGUUUGAAAUGACGCUCGAACAGGCAUGCCCUAAGGAAUGCCAAAGGGCGCAAUGUGCGUUCAAAGAUUCGAUGAUUCACUGAAUUCUGCAAUUCACACUACUUAUCGCAUUUCGCUGCGUUCUUCAUCGAUGCGUCCUUGAUAGG
rnacentral:misc_RNA from 1 species